CAAUGAUCGAGAAACGAGGUGGUGGGACGAGGCACGCGGCUGCUACGCGAACAGCGUGGUGGCACGUAGUCCACGGAGAAGAACACCACGAGUCUGCCUCCGAUGCGACUGCUGGCCGGAAGUGGCCACUGUGGAUCCGGUCACUCGACGUCGACGAAUAUGUGUAUCGUGUUUUCACCGGUAUCAACCAGACAAUCGACGAUUUUCUUCGGACGUUGAGCGGUUAGUGGAUCGUUUUCUUUGCGAGGAGGACGUUCGGAAUUGUUUGAAGUGAAUAUUGGAGUUUGACAGACGACGAAAAAUUUCAGACAGCUGGAGGAUUUUAUUUCUCUUAAGAUACUGAACAGUCGGUGAACGUUUUGCCUUUGUGAAGAGAACGUUUGAAAUUGUUUGAGGUGGACGCUGGAAUUUGAUUAUCGACGAGGAAUUUCCGGCAGUUCGAGCAUUUCCUUGCGUGAGAAUCGUUUUUCGAAGGAUAUUGAACAGUUAGUGGACUCUUGGAAACAGUGUUUGAGUUUGUUCGAAGUGGGUUUUUCAACCAAGUCAAACUUUGGAUAAUUUGAGAAUCUUUCGUCUUAAAAUACUGGGGAGUAAGUGGAUUCUUUUCGUUGCUAAGAGAGUGUUUGAGUUUGUUUGUACAGUCUGGCAUCUGAUACAGGAUUUUGAAUGGUACAAGGAUUCUCUUGGAUCGGAAUCGCAUCUUUUAAUAUAUUAACAGUUACUGGAUUCUUUCCUUAGAAUUAAUAAGAAGAAUGUUUCACUUUGUUCGAUGUGAAGACUAGAAUUUAGCGAAAGAGGAGUUUAAACAAUUCACUGAUUCUCUUGAAUAAGUAUCUGUUUGUUUAAGACAUGGAAUAGUGAUUCCCUAGGAAGAAUGUAAACAAUUAGAAGAUUCCACAGGAAGAAUAUAAACAAUUAGAGGAUUCUCUAGAAGUCUGAGAAUGUUUGACUUAGUUUAAGGUGAUCACUCGUGGAUGUUCAAUUUGGAGGUACACGCUUUUACCUUGGAAGAAAGGGGAUGGAAAUCUUCGAAUACUGAAACGUUGCAUGGAAAAGUUGUAAAAUAGAUCUUGAACAAUUAGAAGAUCGUUUAUGUUAAUUUGAGGCAGAUGCCGGCAGACCUUGAAUCUCGAAGAACAAACGAGUAGCGUGAUUUAGGCAGAAGAAUGAAAAAUACACUGUGAAAAUUGCAGAAGAACCUGACGAAUGUGAAAAACAGGGAAGAACACAGUCGUGGUUAUUUUAAGUGAAAUACAAUAUAACGCAUAAUCAAGACAUUCGCAAUCUAAACGACGAGUUAGCACGUCUUUUCCAGUCAACAAGAAAGAAACUGUCGAGAGAAAGCGAGUCUUCCUUCGAAAAGAAUUGAGAUAAAAAUACAUAAAUAUGCAAAGGAAAAAAAAUAGUUGAUCUGAAUGGAAUGUUAUGGAAAUGUCGAAAUAAAAUGCGACUAAUCUGA